AUUUUGGACAAUGGGGGAAACCCUGAUCCAGCAAUGCCGCGUGCAGGAUGAAUGCCUUCGGGUUGUAAACUGCUUUUGUACGGAACGAAAAGCAUUGGGUUAAUACCCUGGGAACACUCCGGUACCGUAUUAAUAAGCACCGGCUAACUACGUGCCAGCACCCGCGGUAAUACGUAGAGUGCAAACGUUAAUCGGAAUUACUGGGCGUAAAGCGUGCGCAGGCGGUUUUGUAAGACAGUGGUGAAAGCCCCGGGCUCAACCUUGGAACUGCCAUUGUGACUGCAAGGCUGGAGUGCGGCAGAGGGGGAUGGAAUUCCGCGUGUAGCAGUGAAAUGCGUAGGUAUGCGGAGGAACACCGAUGGCGAAGGCAAUCCCCUGGGCCUGCACUGACGCUCAUGCACGAAAGCGUGGGGAGCAAACAGG
rnacentral:rRNA from 1 species